GAGGGCUGCCUCUAGCCUGAUGUGGGUGAGGUAGGGGAAAGUAGCGUGUUUGGAGCACAGCAGAGAAAAAUAACGCAUUUUUCUUCAUGAGGGAGUCGGCUAGUAGGUGUUGGAUCCAGAAUGUAUCGUAAAAUUACAAGUGACUGCAAAUGACAUUUACACCCCAUAAAUCUGUCUCGGUUACAGGACUGCAGAUUUUUCCCUGGCACCUGUCUGUUCCAGAGUGUAGGUGGUUCCCCAGCCUUCCUGCACCGCGUGUUCGUUUCACUGCCGAAGCCCCACAGUUAUCCUGAGGUGGCUGUGCCGGGGGUGGUCAAAGCCUCCCAGCUCCCAAGUCAGGAGCACCCAACGUGGAUACUCAAGUACUGUGAAAUGGAUGCCUAGCCCUUGCGAUGGACCGUCUUGGGGACAGGGGGCUGUGGUCUCACCUGGUGCUCUUGCCCAUCCCCUAGUCUCAGAAGCUGUUAAAUACAGAAAUGUGAACCAAUGGUAAUGGGGGAGCAUGGACGCAGCUGGGCAACAGGGUGUGAACGUGUCUAAGUUGUGUUCCUGUGGGACCUGCAGACAUUUCUGGAAAGUCUGCAGCUUGGAUAAAUAAACCUGGCUGCAUCUCCUGUGAGUGCAUGUGCCCUGAGAGAGAAUGCACUAGGUUUUCUCUGAGAAAAGCUGCAAGAAUCGCACAGAUUUGUGGAAAAUAGGGGUGGCACCUACACCUCUGCUCUGAUCCCAUAUCAAGAGCCCUUAGUCUGUCUUUGCUGUUUAAAAACUUCCAGAGAAAGAGGUUUCUUAGCCUCCCAUAGAAUGCUUGUUCCAGUACAGAACUACCUUUUACAUUUUUUCCUUCUUUCUGGUCAUAAUGAAAGUGACACUUGUGGUGUAUCGAGGCAAUUUCUUUUUGUGCUAUACCUAAUUAUACCUAAUAUUGCUGGAGAGCAAUUGCUCCAUGUCUUUUCAUAACCUCUUUUGGAAGAGUGUUAUCAUGUAAUCUGGUGUUUCUAAACAAAAGUUUACAAUAAAAGCUGUCACUUGGAGCAAAGACUCAGAAA